UUUUAAAAAAUAUUUUCAGUCCUCGGUUGGUUGAAUCCACAGAUGCAGAACCCACAGAUACAGAGGGACAACUGUAUGCAUAUAGGAAAUUAAAACAAGUGUAACUAGAAGAAUGAAACCAAGCCAUUUCUGGGGACGUGGGUCUAUCUUCAACUCCCUGCAGGUCACCCCAAGACAUCCCAGACUCCUUCCAAGCUAUUCAAGUCAUCUUGGAAAACUUUGGGGUGGGCACCCAGUCCACCCAACUGAGGCCAGUUCCGACAGGAUCUCUGCCACGCAGAAGGUAUUUUGUUGAUCUCAUAAAUGUGGUCUUCUCUUUCACCAUAUCUUCCAACUCAGCACAGGACAGUAGAACUUUCUGCAAUGAUGAACAUGCUCUGCAACUACACUAAUACAGUCGCCACUAAUCACGUGACUAUUGAGAAACUAAAUUUAAAGUUUGAUUUAAUCUUAAUUAUUUUAAAUUUAAAUUCAAAUAGCCACAUGUGGCAGUGGUUAUCAUGUUGAACAAUGCAGUUUUAACUGAUUGCAGUUUGUAUAUAUGAAGGGUAUUGAUUUUUGUAUAUUUUAUACCCCAUUUCCUUACUGAAUUUUAUUGUUUAUAGUCGUUUUUCAAUUGAUUAAUUUGGUUUCUCUUGGAAUACAAACAUAUCACUGACAAAGAUAAUUUUACCUAUUCCUUUCCAAGUUUUCUAUUUCUUGUCUAAUUGCAUUGACUAUGUUAAGAAGAAACAACAGACCCAACAUGGAGUCACUUGUGGUAAGCCCCACCAAGACUUAAUGCCUAAUCUAAUUGCAGUUUCAGCCUCUGCCAGGAGUGGGAUUUUAAACCAAUCAGUCUGGAAUUUCCUGAUAACACUAGUGAGGUAAUCUGCCUGAUAAGACCUCCUGCCUCCCUCUAAGGAAGAUAACCUUUCUUGAAAUAAUCCACUUUUAACUCCCUUGUCCCACCUUCUUUCUGUCUAUAAACACCUUCCAUUUUGUACAACUCCUUGGAGUGCCUUUCUGUUUACUAUUUAGAUGGGCUGCUGCCCAGUUCAUGAAUCGUUCAAUAAAGCCAAUUAGAUCUUAAAAUUUACUUGGCUGAAAUUUUGUUAACAGCUAAUACCUCCAAUGAAAGGAUAUAUAGUCAUAGUGGUGAAAGUGUAUAUUCUUGUUCCUGACUUAAUGGAAUUUCUAAGUGUGAUUUCUUCUUUUUUUUCAUAUGCAAGUGGUACAAACAGGUGACAAAUCUAUUGUUCUGUCCCCAAAGCUUGUACCUCCUCCAGACCUUCCUGUGUUACUGACCUGAGGAGCCAUUCUGUUUCCCAAGUUAGAAAUCUAGGCAUCACUUUCAUUUCUCUCUUUCUCUCCCUCUCCCUCACUUUAUUAUCCAGGCCAACCAGCUAUCAAAUCUGUCCUCUUUUCAUUUCCACUGCCACCCCCCAGUCUGUUACCUUUCAUUGCUUAU